AGGUAUGCUUAGGGAGGAGCUUGCGUCACAUUAGUUAGUUGGUGGGGUAAAGGCCUACCAAGACUAUGAUGUGUAGCCGGGCUGAGAGGUUGAACGGCCACAUUGGGACUGAGACACGGCCCAAACUCCUACGGGAGGCAGCAGUAGGGAAUUUUCGGCAAUGGAGGAAACUCUGACCGAGCAACGCCGCGUGAACGAUGAAGUAUUUCGGUACGUAAAGUUCUUUUAUUAGGGAAGAAUAAAUGAUGGAAAAAUCAUUCUGACGGUACCUAAUGAAUAAGCCCCGGCUAACUAUGUGCCAGCAGCCGCGGUAAUACAUAGGGGGCAAGCGUUAUCCGGAAUUAUUGGGCGUAAAGGGUGCGUAGGCGGUUAAAUAAGUUUAUGGUCUAAGUGCAAUGCUCAACAUUGUGAUGCUAUAAAAACUGUUUAGCUAGAGUAAGAUAGAGGCAAGUGGAAUUCCAUGUGUAGUGGUAAAAUGCGUAAAUAUAUGGAGGAACACCAGUAGCGAAGGCGGCUUGCUGGGUCUUUACUGACGCUGAGGCACGAAAGCGUGGGGAGCAAACAGGAUUAGAUACCCUGGUAGUCCACGCCGUAAACGAUGAGUACUAAACGUUGGGUAAAACCAGUGUUGAAGUUAACACAUUAAGUACUCCGCCUGAGUAGUACGUACGCAAGUAUGAAACUUAAAGGAAUUGACGGGACUCCGCACAAGCGGUGGAUCAUGUUGUUUAAUUCGAAGGUACCCGAAAAACCUCACCAGGUCUUGACAUGCUUCUGCAAAACUGUAGAAACACAGUGGAGGUUAUCAGUUGCACAGGUGGUGCAUGGUUGUCGUCAGCUCGUGUCGUGAGAUGUUGGGUUAAGUCCCGCAACGAGCGCAACCCUUAUUGUUAGUUACCAGCACGUAAUGGNGGGGACUUUAGC
rnacentral:rRNA from 1 species